rnacentral:tRNA from 1 species
UGUGGGAUGGAGCAGUUGGUAGCUCGUUAGGCUAUAACCUAAAGGUCGUUGGUUCAAGUCCAACUCCCGCAA